UUAUUGUCGUAAUUAAUGUGAUGACGUGAAGAGGGAGAAAAAAAAUGCUGGAAGUGGAGAUCGGGCGCGCAUGCGUGGCUCGGAGUCGGUGCAGCAAGCAGGAACAGCCGAGCGGGGAACCACAAGAAAGAAAAUUUAGGGCACUUUAGACUGUUGCAAUGGCAAGCUUUUCAGCUGGACUUAAAUGUUGGAAAACACAACUGGAAAAAGGAAGAGACAGUGUGGAUGUUACAUAAGGGUGUACCAGACAGUGGAAGUAGAGAGUUAUCUUGGGAGUUACUGGUGGCUUCUUCCUGAACUGCACAGAGAUGACCAGUGCUUCAUGUUUGAGCUCUUCAGUCUCUCCUCCACAUCACCUUCCAGUGCUGAUAAUCUGCAGACAUCUAGUUAGCCACACCAUAUGCUUGGAGUUGUUGGUGGCUCCCUCAGUAAUUAACUGCACAGAGAUGACCAAACCCUGAUACUGCCUCGUGUGUGAGCUUUGUAGCCUCCCAUCUGCAUCAGCUUCCAGUGCACAUCAUCU